CUGUCCAUAGUACGAGAGGACCGGGAUGGACAUGGCAACGGUAUAUCAGUUGUUCCGCCAGGAGCAUGGCUGAGUAGCUGCCCAUGGAAAGGAUAAACGCUGAAAGCAUCUAAGCGCGAAGCCUACCGUAAGAUGAGACUUCCCAUUCGUAAGAAGUAAGUGCCCUCCAAAGUUAGGAGGUUGAUAGGAUACAGUUGUAAGUGUUGUAAGGCAUUUAGAUGAGUAUUACUAAUAGCACGAGGACUUAAUUUC
rnacentral:rRNA from 1 species